UACGGAGGGUGCAAGCGUUAUCCGGAUUCACUGGGUUUAAAGGGUGCGUAGGUGGGUUGGUAAGUCAGUGGUGAAAUCUCCAGGCUUAACUUGGGAAACUGCCAUUGAUACUAUCAAUCUUGAAUGCCGUGGAGGUCAGCGGAAUAUGUCAUGUAGCGGUGAAAUGCUUAGAUAUGACAUAGAACACCAAUUGCGAAGGCAGCUGGCUACACGAAUAUUGACACUGAUGCACGAAAGC
rnacentral:rRNA from 1 species